rnacentral:rRNA from 1 species
CCUACGGGAGGCAGCAGUGGGGGAUAUUGCACAAUGGGGGGAACCCUGAUGCAGCGACGCCGCGUGGGUGAAGGAGUGCUUCGGCAUGUAAAGCCCUAUCGGCAGGGAAGAAGCAAGACGGUACCUGACUAAGAAGCCCCGGCUAACUACGUGCCAGCAGCCGCGGUAAUACGUAGGGGGCGAGCGUUAUCCGGAUUCACUGGGUGGAAAGGGAGCGUAGACGGCCAUGCAAGCCAGGGGUGAAAGCCCGGGGCCCAACCCCGGGACUGCCCUUGGAACUGCAUGGCUGGAGUGCGGGAGGGGCAGGCGGAAGUCCUGGUGUAGCGGUGAAAUGCGUAGAUAUCAGGAGGAACACCGGCGGCGAAGGCGGCCUGCUGGACCGCGACUGACGUUGAGGCUCGAAAGCGUGGGGAGCGAACAGGAUUAGAUACCCUAGUAGUC